GGUACUUAACCAAAAUGGAAAGUUCUCAUUGCAUAGUGCUGAGAUUUAAUCAAGAAAAAAAGGAGUAUCCUUCUUCAUCUAUAUAUCUGGCACAAAUCUAUCCCUCUCAAAUAUCAUUCUUCAUUUGGAUGGGUUGGCAUCAGCAGCUCCAUGUGGAUGAAAUAAUCAAGCAAAAAUGUGCAUAAAUAAUCAUGCAGUAUUAAAUGUAAAAAACCAAAAGCAGAUAAGGUAUCAGCUUAUUGGAGUAAAAUCUUUCAUCUAAACCCUCCAACUUUGCUCCCACUUCUGGAGAUUUGCUGACUGUUUGAACAAAACUGGAUAUAUUCAUACCAUUAUACCUCUAUUAAUUAUUUUGGUUUCUAUGGCUUGAAAGAAAUAUCUCCUAGCAUUCUGGUAUUAAAAAUGCAAGCUUCAAGGGUGAUUAAAAGAGUUAAACAUUUAUUGAACUUAAUGAAUAAUGAGCACGGCAGGACUAAUUACGAAAGAUUGUUCCCUUGCAAAGUCCGGGUAAAUGUUAAAAACUCCUAACCAGUAAUGCACUACAGAUAAGUAGUGGAAACCACAAAUGGGAUUGUUAGACUCGGGCACAGAUGGAUG
rnacentral:lncRNA from 1 species